ensembl:lncRNA
GGAGCCAGUGGCUCCCAGUGCCCAGCACUGGGGUGGCUUUGGCUGGAAAAAGGCAAAUAUUGGGUGCCCAGCCCAGUGGGGACACUGGAGGGACAAUCCCCUCCUCCCCAGCACCGCAGCCCUCGUUAUGGGCACUGAAAAACCUUCUAAUUACCAGAGGUCUCCUCGGGAAAAGGAGGAUGCAGUGCAUUAUAAUAUUGAAAAAGCUGCAUCCAAUCUCAUUUGGAGGAUUAGGAAGUGCCAGCGCACACACACAAAUAAAAAGCUGGAAACAGGGUGGCUGGAAAGGCCCUCAGCAGAAAGGUGUUGGAGUUUGCAAGCUGCCCUUGGAGCACAGCAGGCACCGGGGUGAGACUGUGCCAGGAGAAUCCAUGGAGGCAUCACCAAACAGCUCCUGGAAUUUCUUCCUGCCCUGCAAACUCGGGGCUUUUGGAGGAAAAAUGUUUGAAAUAGGGAAUUUUAGGAGGGAUGAGUGGUUUGGAUCAGCGAGGAGUUCCUGUCCUGGGUGCAGGGACAUAAAUCCUCCAGCAGCUCCUGGGAGCCUCAGGGAUGAUUAAAUCCCAGGAUAACGGUGCUGGAUGUGGGGAAGGGCUGGAGCAGAGGCAGGGACGAGGAUCUGCCCUGACCUGGCCAAGAGGCAGCUCCGUAAAUCCUCGACCAUGGAAUUUUUCCAGUGAACAUUUGGAGUUUUGGAGGCUGAGGCUGUGCCUGCUCCUGGCUGUGGCCUUGGUGGUGCUUUUGGUCUGGGUCAGGACGUUCCCAGCUGGAGCAGGUCCCCAAAUCCUGGUGGCAGUGGCAGGGGUGACAUCCUCCCACAAAACAGGAUGAAAUCCCAGGGGUUUUCUGGGGGGUUUCAUCCCCUCCAACCUCUCCUUGCUGGAUCUGCAGCCCCUGGAGCACCUGGAAAGUUGCUCCUGGCCAGAGGGUUCCCAGCAGGACCAUUGCCCAGCCUGGCCCAGGGCAGGAGAUUAUGGAGCUUUGGAGCAGACACGUGGGAUGGCUGUGUCCUACUUUUGGAGAGCAGAAUCCAGUAUUAAAAAAAAAAAAAAGAAAAAAAAAGAAAAAGGGCACGGUUGUGGCGAGAGCAAAUAUAGCAACAAAGCCCUGCCAGGGUGACAUCCUCACCAUGGUGACAUCCCCACAGCCUGGCAUGUCCCCUGGGAAUAUGGAAAAGGGUUUGUUUGCCCCCCCAGAGUCUCAUCCUCCCCACUGGGGAAGCAUCUCCAGACACAUUUCAGGCUGACACGAGCAGCGUCCUCCUCUCUGUCCUCGUGUUCCUGUCCCUGUUCCUGCCCCUAUUCCUGUUUGUGUCCCCAUUCCCAUCCCUGCCCCAUUCUCAUCCCUCACUCAGUCCCAUCCCAGCCCCAUUUCUCACCCCCAUUUCCCACCCCCAUCCCCAUCCCCAUCCUAUUCCUCAUUCACUGUUCCCCAUCCCAUCCUAAUCCCCAUCCCCAUCCCCAUCCCGGUGUGGUGAUUCCCCUCCCUGACUGGGAGCCCUCCCUCACCAAUCAAUGCCAAAACUGGAGCCAAUUAACCCCUUAAUCCCCGAGAGGAGGCCAAGGGAGCUGGAGCAGCAGGUGCUGCAGGGGGACAUUCCCAACAUUCCUGUGAAAUCUGUGACUCAGCCCUGGAAUUACUGCCGGUGCUCCAUUAUCUCAGAUCAAUAGAACAGUUAUUACUUAAUGGGCUAAAAUUAUCAUUCUGAGGACCCAGAUCUGCCUGUUCUGGUGCUGUUAACUGAGGGGGGGCUUAAUGAAAAUGUAAAUCCAGGUCCAUUAAUCAAACAAUUAUUUGGGAACCACGAGACAGCCGGCGCUGAACCUAAUUAAGAAAUAAACAAAGUUAAUCAGUGAGCAGAAAACAUUUACUAAUCAGAGAGGUACAUUGCAAGCAAGAAAUACCAGGGAAUAAUUUAUUAAACAUUCCCAAACCUGCUCCACACCUUAAUAACCUGACAUUCCAGCUUCCAGGAAGGCCCAUCCUGGGUUUAUUAAAGCAUUUGUUCUGCUUUAGGGUCUACUGGGUACUGCAGAACAGAAACUUAUUACUCUGCCAGAAGAAUAAUUGCAUCGAUUUCAAAUAAUAGGGCCAGGGCCCCAUUGGGGACAGGGGGUGGCACCUGAUCCUGGAGCUGUUUGGGUUUAAUUAUUGGCAUUUAGAGCUCACCCAGCUCCAAAGUUAAUUCUGAUAAAAAUAGAAGAAUUGCAACGACACCUAAAGAUGGAGCUGGUGACAUUUCCUUUCCUGGAAAACCUGCUUGUCUGGGAUAAAUGGGAAUAUUCACUCUGAAAUUCCUCCUGCCCAGUGCCACUUCCCAUCAUCUCCAAUAUUUCCAAAAUAGGAAAAGCUGCAGGUCCCUAAGCUGCUUUGCAGUGUCCCCUUUGACCCUGCAGCAGGGCUGGGGUGUGGUUCUGGGGUUUUAUCCAUAAAUCCGUGGCUAGGCAGGAUUCCAGUGCUCCCAUCCCAUUCCUGCUCCUUUCCAUCUCUGGGAUGGAGAGGGGUGGGGCAGAAAAUCCCUGGAAUUGGGGGGCUGGAAGGAGACCCCAGCCUUGAUACCCUCAAACCCCCCAGUGCUCAUCCCAAUCCCUUUUCCUUGUCUUUUCCCGGAGCCACAAUUAAGGCCAUUUCCCCCCAGCCAGGCUUAGCUGUUUAUCCA